AAAUGAUCCCAGCAUUAUCAGUGCAUUCCGUGAUUGGGCGGCGAUUAGACAUUGGAGCCAACGGUCCAUGUUCCAUCACUAGUUAACUUAAUCUUUUCCCCUGUCGCCCACAAAACCACAAAUCCGACAAAUGUCCCAGCGCUAACUCAGGCCCCUUGAGUCUUUGCCUCUUGAUUGACCCACCGACGUACUUGUUUGGUCUGGUCUGAGAAGCCAGCAGGCAAAUCACAGCACGCUGGAAGUCUGAAACAUCCAUAAUGCCGUGUAUUAUUACUCCGUCCACGAGGUGGAUGUUUGCUGUUGCCUCGAUCAACCCCUCUUCAUCCAGUGACCAUCAACUGAUUAGAAAGUGACUUCUGUAUACAGAAUAGCUACGUGUUUUGUGCACAGCCCUUCUAGGCAUUUGUUGUACCACACUGCAUAAUUCUAUUCUCCAGUCUGGAAUCUUCACAUGAUGUGAUACUUGCUGCCUAUGUAGUAGGAGGCAGCGGCGACACGCGUUCCAUUUUUGUCUCGAUGUUCACAGCCAGUGGAUCUAACUCGCAUCCUCCUGGUUGAGACUGUCUUACUACGUAUAAGAGCGC
rnacentral:lncRNA from 1 species